rnacentral:rRNA from 1 species
CCCUUAGAUGCUCUGGGCAGCACGCGCGCUACAGUGGUCUUCGCAAACGGAUGCAUUCUCGAAGGAGAAUGCCAAUCUUGGAAUCUAUGCCUUGGUCGGGACAGUUGCUUGCAAUUUUUCGACUCGAACCAGGAAUUCCUUGUAAUCGUGAUUCAUCACAUCACGAUGAAUACGUCCCUGCCCUUUGUACACACCGCCCGUCGCUCCUACCGAUCGAAGAGUUAGGUGAAUUGUUUUGAUCGAUAAGAUUUGACUAUGGUCAACUCUCGUUGUGAAAUUCUGUGAAUCUGACUGUUUAGAGGAAGGAAAAGUCGUAACA